rnacentral:rRNA from 1 species
AUGCAUUCCGAGGUACCAGUGAAUAAUAACAAGAAAAUUUGGAACCCAAAGAUUCCACUAAGAGUUAAAAUCUUUAUGUGGUAUCUUCAUACGGGAGUUGUGCUAACCAAAGAUAAUCUUGCACGGCGCAACUGGCGAGGAAGUAAAUAGUGUCAAACACCUCUUUUUCCAAUGCAAGUUUGCAUGUUCUACAUGAUCAAUCAUUCAAAUAGUGUCAAAUUUGUAUCCGCCAACGAGUAUUGCCAAUAUAUUUGGUCAUUGGUUGGACAGAAUUCCAAAUAG